GGUCGCUUCUCGCAGGCGGCGCGCUUGCUGGGUCACAGUGAGGCGGCUCCGCGCAGGCGCAGCCGGGCGGGCGAGGAGCGGGGAAGCUGACUCAGGGCUGCGGCCGGGGUCCUGCGGGGUAGGAGCGCGAGGCCGGCCUGAGGGAGGAGGCCUAGCGACCCAUCCGGCGCCUCCCGCCCCGGGCACCCGCCCGCGGCCGCGCAUCCUGCGGGCCCCAGGAGGCCUCCAUCUCAAAACAACGUGUUUUUAGAGAACUCAAGGGCUGUGAAAAGAGCAGGACCUCACCAGCUGCACGGCGGUGGUGACUGGCUCCAUCUUGCUGUCCCUCCCAAUCACACAACAUCUCCCCUUGAAGGCUCUGCCCAGGCCCGGACUCCCACCUUUCAAGAUGUCUGGAUCAGUGCAGGACCUCCUCCUUGGCCACAUCGCUCUCCUUGGACUGGUUCGUUAACCCUGUGUUCAAGUGAUUCUCCCACCUCAGCCUCCCAAGUAGGAUUACAGUGUUGACUCACCUGUGGAGUGGUCUGAGCCUGAAUGCCCGGGGCUGUGGCCACCGAGUGAACGGGCUGUGCUAAGGGGAAUUGCCACCUUGGGAAACCUGUGUAGUUGCGGCUUUUCUGAUUAAGUAUCAAUAAAAGUCUGACCUUGUGAAAAAAGCAAACGUGAGUGGCCCUGCUUAUGUUUCACCUUGCGUUGCUCAGUGAUAGUUCUGCAAAGUCGCAGGAAACCUGGAAUCAUCUAAUUAUCGUGAGUGUUGGCACAUGACAGCCUUCUUGCAAUCAAGAAACUACGUGUGGCCAGGAUCUCAUCCACUAUCACAGUUUCAGCUUUCCCCAAACUGGAAUGUGUCUUUGCAGACGCCCAUCCUUAUUAAAGGGCAAAGACUUCUCAUACACCUAGGAUGGAUCUUAUAUUCUUGGCGGGACUGCAGAGAAGGUGCCGUGUCCUGAGUCCUCAUGUCAGGGCACAGGCUUCCAGCCAGUUCUACCUGGGUUAUGUUUAUCUCAAUUCCCUGGUGGUAUUGGUGUCUGCUGGGUUUUGCCAGAAUGAAGACACCGUGUUUUCAUUUGUCAGUUGAUUCGUAUUUUCCAGGAAGACAUUCUGAGAUUACAGCAUUGUCUUAGUCAAGGUGCUGCAGAAGGACAGAACUAAUAGGAUAUAUGUACAUAUGAAAGAAAGUUUAUGAAGAACUGGCUCACACCAUCACAAGGCAAAGUCCCAUGACAGGCCAUCUGCAAGCUGAGGAGCGAGGAAGCCAGCAGUGGCUCAGCCGGAGUCCAACAGCCUCAAACGGAAUCCAACAGUUCAGGCUUCAGUCUGUGGCCAAAUGCCCAGAGACCCCGGAAAGCUACUGGUGUUAGUCCCAGAGCCGGAAGGCCAAAGAACCUGGAGUGUGAUGUCCAAGGGCAGGAGGAAUGGACAGAAGCAUCCAGCAUGGGGUAAAGACGAAAGCCAGAAGACUCAGCAAGCUAGCUUACCUACUUUCUUCUGCCUGCCUUGUUCUAGCCGCGCUGGCAGCCGGUUGGAGGGUGCCCACCCCCACUGAGGGUGGAUCUUCCUCUCCUAGUCCACUGACUCAAAUUUCAGUCUCUCUGGGAGCACCAUCACACCAGAAACAAUACCAGCCAUCUAGCCACCCUUCAGUUCACCAUCACAACCAUUGUCUUAUUCAUGAAACUUCUGCAGACCCACCUUAACCUCCAUCGGUGACUUCUACCUGAAGCCCUCUGAUUGUUGCCCAGUGGUGCUUUUUAAAAUAAUUUCCAUAGUUUCUUCUACACCUUUAGUUGGCAUUCUACUGUAAAGGAGAGAUUUUAUUUUCUUACUCAUUUAUUUGUUAGUUUAUAGUCACCACCAUAUGGAUGCAGAGUUCUGUCUCAUUCACUGGGAAGUAUUCUAUUGCAGUCAUGAUUUAUUUUGAUGUUCACAUCCCAGAGUUGGUGAGUGAGCGCCCCUUCACGCUGGCUCCCGAGUGCUGACGUGUCCCCGUCCUUCUCUGCACUUUUCCUUACCUCCUGGCCUCAGAUAUUCCAGGGUCAUUUGUUCUCUCCCUGCUCCAACCCUGCAGUCAGCCAUCUCCCUAGGGACGUUGGUUCCUUUAUGGAAGGUGGCAUUUAGAAGCCAGGAUUUGGGCUGAGCACUGUGGCUCAUGCUUGUAAUCCCAGCACUUGGGGAGGCCGAAGUGGGCGGAUCGCUGGAGGCCAAGAGUCUGAGACCAGCCUGGCUAACAUGGUGAAACCCUUCCCCGUCUCUACUACAAAUAAAAAAUUAGCUGGGUGUGUUGGCACGUGCCUGUAAUCCCAGUUACUCAGGAGGCUGAAGCACCAGAAUCUCUUGAACCCAGGAGGCCGAGGUUGCAGUGAGCCAAGAUUGCACCACUGCACUACAGCUUGGGUGACAGCGCGAGACACCGUCUCAAAAAGGAUAAUAAUUUAAAAAACAGCAGGAUUUGGGUGAGCAGUGCGCUCAUUGCUUCUGGGCUCUCUCGGUGGACAUAGGCUAGGAAUGUAAGAUGUAUGUGCCUGUGUAUAUACACACGUCUGUAGCUAUGUCUAUGUUGCAUACAUGUGUUUUUCCAAAAACCAAAUCCAUAACCAUGCCUUCAGUUUCAGCCCAACACCUCCGGGCUCUUUCUAGCUUUCUACCUUUCAUGAUUGUGAAUACCUUCUCCAGCAGUGAGAAACCUGGCUCCUUUGUCCUCAGUGGAUUUUCUUAUUUGCUCAAUUUUUUUGUUUUUUGUUUUGUUUUUGUUUUUGAGACAGAGUCUUGUUCUGUCACCCAAGCUGGAGUGCAGUGGCAUAAUCUCGGCUUACCGCAACCUCUGCCUCCUGG
rnacentral:lncRNA from 1 species